GGUUAAGCGACUAAGCGUACACGGUGGAUGCCCUGGCAGUCAGAGGCGAUGAAGGGCGUGCUAAUCUGCGAUAAGCGCCGGUAAGGUGAUAUGAACCGUUAUAACCGGCGAUACCCGAAUGGGGAAACCCAGUGUGACUCGUCACACUAUCAUUAACUGAAUCCAUAGGUUAAUGAGGCGAACCGGGGGAACUGAAACAUCUAAGUACCCCGAGGAAAAGAAAUCAACCGAGAUUCCCCCAGUAGCGGCGAGCGAACGGGGAGGAGCCCAGAGCCUGAAUCAGCAUGUGUGUUAGUGGAAGCGUCUGGAAAGGCGCGCGAUACAGGGUGACAGCCCCGUACACAAAAGCGCAUGUGCUGUGAGCUCGAUGAGUAGGGCGGGACACGUGGUAUCCUGUCUGAAUAUGGGGGGACCAUCCUCCAAGGCUAAAUACUCCUGACUGACCGAUAGUGAACCAGUACCGUGAGGGAAAGGCGAAAAGAACCCCGGCGAGGGGAGUGAAAAAGAACCUGAAACCGUGUACGUACAAGCAGUGGGAGCACAGGUUUACCUGUGUGACUGCGUACCUUUUGUAUAAUGGGUCAGCGACUUAUAUUCUGUAGCAAGGUUAACCGAAUAGGGGAGCCGGAGGGAAACCGAGUCUUAAUUGGGCGUUAAGUUGCAGGGUAUAGACCCGAAACCCGGUGAUCUAGCCAUGGGCAGGUUGAAGGUUGGGUAACACUAACUGGAGGACCGAACCGACUAAUGUUGAAAAAUUAGCGGAUGACCUGUGGCUGGGGGUGAAAGGCCAAUCAAACCGGGAGAUAGCUGGUUCUCCCCGAAAGCUAUUUAGGUAGCGCCUCGUGAAUUCAUCUCCGGGGGUAGAGCACUGUUUCGGCUAGGGGGCCAUCCCGGCUUACCAACCCGAUGCAAACUGCGAAUACCGGAGAAUGUUAUCACGGGAGACACACGGCGGGUGCUAACGUCCGUCGUGAAGAGGGAAACAACCCAGACCGCCAGCUAAGGUCCCAAAGUCAUGGUUAAGUGGGAAACGAUGUGGGAAGGCCCAGACAGCCAGGAUGUUGGCUUAGAAGCAGCCAUCAUUUAAAGAAAGCGUAAUAGCUCACUGGUCGAGUCGGCCUGCGCGGAAGAUGUAACGGGGCUAAACCAUGCACCGAAGCUGCGGCAGCGACACUGUGUGUUGUUGGGUAGGGGAGCGUUCUGUAAGCCUGCGAAGGUGGCCUGUGAGGGUUGCUGGAGGUAUCAGAAGUGCGAAUGCUGACAUAAGUAACGAUAAAGCGGGUGAAAAGCCCGCUCGCCGGAAGACCAAGGGUUCCUGUCCAACGUUAAUCGGGGCAGGGUGAGUCGACCCCUAAGGCGAGGCCGAAAGGCGUAGUCGAUGGGAAACGGGUUAAUAUUCCCGUACUUGGUGUUACUGCGAAGGGGGGACGGAGAAGGCUAUGUUGGCCGGGCGACGGUUGUCCCGGUUUAAGCGUGUAGGUGUGUGUUCCAGGUAAAUCCGGUUCACUUUAACACUGAGGCGUGACGACGAGGCACUACGGUGCUGAAGCAACAAAUGCCCUGCUUCCAGGAAAAGCCUCUAAGCAUCAGGUAACAUCAAAUCGUACCCCAAACCGACACAGGUGGUCAGGUAGAGAAUACCAAGGCGCUUGAGAGAACUCGGGUGAAGGAACUAGGCAAAAUGGUGCCGUAACUUCGGGAGAAGGCACGCUGACACGUAGGUGAAGUGAUUUACUCAUGGAGCUGAAGUCAGUCGAAGAUACCAGCUGGCUGCAACUGUUUAUUAAAAACACAGCACUGUGCAAACACGAAAGUGGACGUAUACGGUGUGACGCCUGCCCGGUGCCGGAAGGUUAAUUGAUGGGGUCAGCGCAAGCGAAGCUCCUGAUCGAAGCCCCGGUAAACGGCGGCCGUAACUAUAACGGUCCUAAGGUAGCGAAAUUCCUUGUCGGGUAAGUUCCGACCUGCACGAAUGGCGUAAUGAUGGCCAGGCUGUCUCCACCCGAGACUCAGUGAAAUUGAACUCGCUGUGAAGAUGCAGUGUACCCGCGGCAAGACGGAAAGACCCCGUGAACCUUUACUAUAGCUUGACACUGAACAUUGAGCCUUGAUGUGUAGGAUAGGUGGGAGGCUUUGAAGUGUGGACGCCAGUCUGCAUGGAGCCGACCUUGAAAUACCACCCUUUAAUGUUUGAUGUUCUAACGUGGACCCGUUACCCGGGUUGCGGACAGUGUCUGGUGGGUAGUUUGACUGGGGCGGUCUCCUCCUAAAGAGUAACGGAGGAGCACGAAGGUUGGCUAAUCCUGGUCGGACAUCAGGAGGUUAGUGCAAUGGCAUAAGCCAGCUUGACUGCGAGCGUGACGGCGCGAGCAGGUGCGAAAGCAGGUCAUAGUGAUCCGGUGGUUCUGAAUGGAAGGGCCAUCGCUCAACGGAUAAAAGGUACUCCGGGGAUAACAGGCUGAUACCGCCCAAGAGUUCAUAUCGACGGCGGUGUUUGGCACCUCGAUGUCGGCUCAUCACAUCCUGGGGCUGAAGUAGGUCCCAAGGGUAUGGCUGUUCGCCAUUUAAAGUGGUACGCGAGCUGGGUUUAGAACGUCGUGAGACAGUUCGGUCCCUAUCUGCCGUGGGCGCUGGAGAACUGAGGGGGGCUGCUCCUAGUACGAGAGGACCGGAGUGGACGCAUCACUGGUGUUCGGGUUGUCAUGCCAAUGGCACUGCCCGGUAGCUAAAUGCGGAAGAGAUAAGUGCUGAAAGCAUCUAAGCACGAAACUUGCCCCGAGAUGAGUUCUCCCUGAGACUUAAAGUCUCCUGAAGGAACGUUGAAGACGACGACGUUGAUAGGCCGGGUGUGUAAGCGCAGCGAUGCGUUGAGCUAACCGGUACUAAUGAACCGUGAGGCUUAACCUUACAACGCCGAAGAUGUUUUG
rnacentral:rRNA from 1 species